rnacentral:rRNA from 3 species
CGACCCCAGGUCAGGCGGGGCUACCCGCUGAGUUUAAGCAUA